UUACGGUCAUAUCACAUUGAAAAACCGGUGCUCGUACGAUCAUCGAAGUUAAGCAACGUCGGACCUGGUCAGUAGCUAGAUGGGGGACCGCUUGGUAAUACCAGGUGCUGUAAG